AUACGUAGGGGGCAAGCGUUGUCCGGAAUCAUUGGGCGUAAAGCGCGUGUAGGCGGCUCGAUAAGUCUGCUGUGAAAGUCCAGGGCUCAACCCUGGGAUGCCGGUGGAUACUGUCGAGCUCGAGUCCGGAAGAGGCGAGUGGAAUUCCUGGUGUAGCGGUGAAAUGCGCAGAUAUCAGGAGGAACACCAAUGGCGAAGGCAGCUCGCUGGGACGUGACUGACGCUGAGACGCGAAAGCGUGGGGAGCAAACAGGAUUAGAUACCCUGGUAGUCCACGCCGUAAACGAUGGGCACUAGGUGUAGGGGGUGUCGACUCCCCCUGUGCCGAAGCUAACGCAUUAAGUGCCCCGCCUGGGGGGCACGGCCGCAAGGCUAAA
rnacentral:rRNA from 1 species